rnacentral:rRNA from 1 species
GACGAACGCUGGCGGCGUGCUUAACACAUGCAAGUCGAACGGAACGGUCGCUUCGGGUGUCCCAGAGUGGCGAAAGGGUGAGUAACACGCGCGUAACCUGCGAUUGACUCAGGGAAAUCUUAAGGAAAAUGGGGCAAAUACUGGAUAGGAAUCAUUGCUCCCCGGUGGGGGUUGGCACGCUUCGGCGGUUUUGGAUGGGCGUGCGGCCCAGCAGCUUGUUGGUGGGGUAGCGGCUUACAAAGGCUAUGACGGGUAGCCGGCCUGGGAGGGCGACCGGCCACAGUGACACUGGGACACGGCCCAGACGCCUACGGGAGGCAGCAGCAGGGAAGAGUGCACUAGGAGCGGAGGCCUGAGGCAGCAACGCCGCGGGCGGGAGGACGACGAACGGGUUGUAAUCCGCUUGCAGCAUGAGCGGAGCUGGUAGUGACGGUACCUGCAGAAGAAGCACCGGCUAACUACGUG